CCCCAGACUCCUACGGGAGGCAGCAGUGGGGGAUAUUGCACAAUGGGGGAAACCCUGAUGCAGCGACGCCGCGUGAGUGAAGAAGUAUUUCGGUAUGUAAAGCUCUAUCAGCAGGGAAGAAAAAAGACGGUACCUGACUAAGAAGCCCCGGCUAACUACGUGCCAGCAGCCGCGGUAAUACGUAGGGGGCAAGCGUUAUCCGGAUUUACUGGGUGUAAAGGGAGCGUAGGCGGCGAUGCAAGUCAGAAGUGAAAGCCCGGGGCUCAACUCCGGGACUGCUUUUGAAACUGUGUUGCUAGAUUGCAGGAGAGGUAAGUGGAAUUCCUAGUGUAGCGGUGAAAUGCGUAGAUAUUAGGAGGAACACCAGCGGCGAAGGCGGCCUGCUGGACCGUGACUGACGUUGAGGCUCGAGAGCGUGGGGAGCAAACAGGAUUAGAUACCCUAGUA
rnacentral:rRNA from 1 species